rnacentral:rRNA from 1 species
UACAUGGGGUGCAAACGUUGCUCGGAAUUAUUGGGCGUAAAGCGCACGUAGGCGGUUCGUUAAGUCGGAUGUGAAAGCCCUCGGCUCAACUGAGGAAGUGCACCCGAAACUGGCGAGCUUGAGUACGAAAGAGGAUCGCGGAAUUCCCGGUGUAGCAGUGAAAUGCGUAGAUAUCGUGAGGAACACCAGAGGCGAAGGCGGCUACCUGGACAAUUGCUGACGCUCAGGCAACGAAAGCCGUGGGGAGCAAAAGGG